GACGAACGCUGGCGGCGUGCUUAACACAUGCAAGUCGAACGGAAAGGCCCUGCUUUUGUGGGGUGCUCGAGUGGCGAACGGGUGAGUAACACGUGAGUAACCUGCCCUUGACUUUGGGAUAACUUCAGGAAACUGGGGCUAAUACCGGAUAGGAGCUCCUGCUGCAUGGUGGGGGUUGGAAAGUUUCGGCGGUUGGGGAUGGACUCGCGGCUUAUCAGCUUGUUGGUGGGGUAGUGGCUUACCAAGGCUUUGACGGGUAGCCGGCCUGAGAGGGUGACCGGCCACAUUGGGACUGAGAUACGGCCCAGACUCCUACGGGAGGCAGCGGUGGGGAAGAUUGCACAAUGGGCGGAAGCCUGAUGCAGCAACGCCGCGUGCGGGAUGACGGCCUUCGGGUUGUAAACCGCUUUCGCCUGUGACGAAGCGUGAGUGACGGUAAUGGGUAAAGAAGCACCGGCUAACUACGUG
rnacentral:rRNA from 1 species